ACGGAAGGCAGCAGUGAGGAAUAUUGGUCAAUGGUCGGAAGACUGAACUAGCCAAGUAGCGUGAAGGAUGACUGCCCUAUGGGUUGUAAACUUCUUUUAUGCGGGAAUAAAAAGGAUUACGUGUAGUCUGUUGCAUGUACCGCAUGAAUAAGGAUCGGCUAAUUCCGUGCCAGCAGCCGCGGUAAUACGGAAGAUCCGAGCGUUAUCCGGAUUUAUUGGGUUUAAAGGGAGCGUAGGCGGGCCUUUAAGUCAGUGGUCAAAGCGUGUGGCUCAACCAUACCACGCCGUUGAUACUGGAGGCCUUGAGUGCACAUAAGGAUGGUGGAAUUCAUGGUGUAGCGGUGAAAUGCUUAGAUAUCAUGAAGAACUCCGAUUGCGAAGGCAGCUGUCCGGGGUGUAACUGACGCUCAUGCACGAAAGUGCGGGGAUCGAACAGGAUUAGAUACCCUGGUA
rnacentral:rRNA from 1 species